rnacentral:tRNA from 1 species
UUUAGAGUGGCAGAGUAGUGCGCUAGAUUUAAGCUCUAGAUAUAAAAGUAUUUUGCUUUUCUUUAUAA